rnacentral:rRNA from 1 species
UACGGAGGGUGCAAGCGUUAUCCGGAUUCACUGGGUUUAAAGGGUGUGUAGGCGGGCUAUUAAGUCAGUGGUGAAAUCUCCGGGCUCAACCCGGAAACUGCCAUUGAUACUAUUAGUCUUGAAUUUUGUUGAGGUAGGCGGAAUAAGUCAUGUAGCGGUGAAAUGCAUAGAUAUGACUUAGAACACCAAUUGCGAAGGCAGCUUGCUAAACAAAUAUUGACGCUGAGGCACGAAAGCGUGGGGAUCAAACAGG